UUUGGGGAAUGGUUCAAAAAUAAUGCAUGGAAGGAUUCUUGGCUUUGUUGCAAAGAUAACCCUUACAUUCAGUCCCCAACCUUGGAAGGCUUCGAAGACCUUCGAGUUUGUGAGCUCAUUGAUCCUUUAGCCAGAAAUUGGAGGGAAGAUAUUAUUCAUGAUGUUUUCAAUGGUAGAGACAACAAGUUGCUGUAAUUACAAACAGCUGCAACUCAGGGAUCCCCCUCAUACAUGAAGCCGAGGCUACAACUCUCCUCUCAGCCAUCAAUUAGGCCACAAAUCUGAACCUCCACAAUAUAGUCUUUGAGACGGACUGCAAAUAUGUGUAUGACAACAUGCUUUCCACCACUAGUGCCACUAUAGAGUCUGGAUUUAUCGUUGUUUCAUGUAAAUAGAAACUGAGAUCAACUCAGAACUCAUCUUUGAGUUUAGUCCGCAGACAACCCAAUAU
rnacentral:lncRNA from 1 species